rnacentral:rRNA from 1 species
UAAGGAAUAUUGCUCAAUGGGAGAAAUCCUGAAGCAGCAACGCCGCGUGGAGGAUGAAGGGUCUAUGACUUGUAACCUCCUGUAAAGAAGGAAAAAAUUCCCAUUUGAUGGGAGAUGAUGGUACUUCUGGAGUAAGCACCGGCUACCUACGUGCCAGCAGCCGCGGUAAUACGUAGGGGGCAAGCGUUGUCCGGAUUUACUGGGUGUAAAGGGUGCUCAGGCGGAUUUGUAAGUCAGAGGUGAAAUCUUACAGCUUAACUGUGAAACUGCCUUUGAUACUGCAAGCCUAGAGUUUGGAAGAANGUGAUGGAAUAUCUGGUGUAGCAGUGAAAUGCGCAUAUAUCAGAUACAACACCAAUGGCGAAGGCAGUCACUUGGUCCAUUACUGACGCUAAAGCACGAAAGCGUGGGUAGCAAACA